CCUACGGGUGGCAGCAGUGGGGAAUAUUGCGCAAUGGCCGAAAGGCUGACGCAGCGACGCCGCGUGUGGGAGGAAGCCCUUCGGGGUGUAAACCACUGUCAGGAGGGACGAAACCCGGGCACUCGAAUAGGGUGUUCGAUUGACGGUACCUCCAAAGGAAGCGCCGGCUAACUCCGUGCCAGCAGCCGCGGUAAGACGGAGGGCGCAAGCGUUGUUCGGAAUCACUGGGCGUAAAGCGCACGCAGGUGGUUUCUUAAGUCCACUGUUAAAUCACGGGGCUCAACCCCGGAGGUGCAGCGGAUACUGAGAGACUGGAGACCGGUAGAGGCUAGCGGAAUUCCUGGUGUAGCGGUGGAAUGCGUAGAUAUCAGGAGGAACACCGGUGGCGAAGGCGGCUAGCUGGGCCGGUUCUGACGCUCAUGUGCGAAAGCGUGGGGAGC
rnacentral:rRNA from 1 species